UUUCAACAAUUCAAAUUUUGGCGCGUUCCGCGCUGUUGAUUGCAAGGAGUGUCAAAGGGAGCUGUCAAUAGAAAUAACAUAAAAAUGGAUCGUGCAAAAACAAGUGUGCGUGAAUAAGGUUAUAUAAAAUAUAUUAUAAAAAGACAGUAAUACUUGAAUAAUAAUUGUAAUAAACUUUAAAUGUCGUUUCUUUGUUUACAGAGAAACAAAUUUUAGUUUAUUUUAUAAAGAAACCCUGAAAAUAUCAUUAUAAAACGACAUUUGUUGUUACAAAAAACAAAAUGAACCGGCUACAAUUUGAAUUUACAGUGAUAGCAUCAAGUGAUGGCAAAUCUAAUGUACUAGCCAUAACCUCUCUAACUACAGAAGACGGAAAAUGUUUUGCGAUACCAGACGAGUUGAAACCAAUAAAUAACCAUAAAGAAAUUACAAAGACGAGUACUUAUAUAAAGAUUAAAAAUAGCCUAAAGAAAA